rnacentral:rRNA from 1 species
AUUGAACGCUGGCGGCAGGCCUAACACAUGCAAGUCGAGCGGAUGACGGGAGCUUGCUCCUUGAUUCAGCGGCGGACGGGUGAGUAAUGCCUAGGAAUCUGCCUGGUAGUGGGGGACAACGUUUCGAAAGGAACGCUAAUACCGCAUACGUCCUACGGGAGAAAGCAGGGGACCUUCGGGCCUUGCGCUAUCAGAUGAGCCUAGGUCGGAUUAGCUAGUUGGUGGGGUAAUGGCUCACCAAGGCGACGAUCCGUAACUGGUCUGAGAGGAUGAUCAGUCACACUGGAACUGAGACACGGUCCUGACUCCUACGGGAGGCGGCAGUGGGGAAUAUUGGACAAUGGGCGAAAGCCUGAUCCAGCCAUGCCGCGUGUGUGAAGAAGGUCUUCGGAUUGUAAAGCACUUUAAGUUGGGAGGAAGGGCAGUAAGCUAAUACCUUGCUGUUUUGACGUUACCGACAGAAUAAGCACCGGCUAACUCUGUGCCAGCCGCCGCAGUAA